GCCAGGCAUGGUGGCGCAUGCCUGUAGUCCCAGCUACUUGGGAGGCUGAGGUGAGAAGAUUGCCUGAAUCCAGGAAUUUGAGGCUGCAGUGAGCCAUGAAUGUACCACUGCACCCCAACCUGGGCAACAAAGCAAGACUCUGUCUCUU
rnacentral:SRP_RNA from 1 species